CCUACGGGUGGCAGCAGUGAGGAAUAUUGGUCAAUGGACGAGAGUCUGAACCAGCCAAGUAGCGUGAAGGAUGAAUGCCCUAUGGGUUGUACACUUCUUUUAUAAGGGAAUAAAAUAUUCCACGUGUGUGCUUUUGUAUGUACCCUAUGAAUAAGGAUCGGCUAACUCCGUGCCAGCAGCCGCGGUAAUACGGAGGAUCCGAGCGUUAUCCGGAUUUAUUGGGUUUAAAGGGAGCGUAGGUGGUUUGUUAAGUCAGUGGUGAAAGGUGGGGGCUCAACCGUAGAAUUGCAGUUGAAACUGGCAGUCUUGAGUACAGUAGAGGUGGGCGGAAUGCGUGGUGUAGCGGUGAAAUGCUUAGAUAUCACGAAGAACUCCGAUUGCGAAGGCAGCUCACUGGACUGCAACUGACACUGAGGCUCGAAAGCGUGGGUAUCAAACAGGAUUAGAUACCCCGGUAGUC
rnacentral:rRNA from 1 species